rnacentral:rRNA from 1 species
CCUACGGGAUGCAGCAGUGAGGAAUAUUGGUCAAUGGGCGGGAGUCUGAACCAGCCAAGCCGCGUGCGGGAAGAAGGUACAGCGUAUCGUAAACUUCUUUUGUCAGGGAACAAAGGCGGGGACUAGUCCCCGGAUGAGUGUACCUGAAGAAAAAGCAUCGGCUAACUCCGUGCCAGCAGCCGCGGUAAUACGGAGGAUGCGAGCGUUAUCCGGAUUUAUUGGGGUUAAAGGGUGGGCGGGCGGCCUGUUAAGUCAGCGGGAAAAGCCCGGGGCUCAACCCCGGCGAGCCGUUGACACUGGCGGGCUGGAGUUGGAGAGAGGUACGCGGAAUGCGCGGUGUAGCGGUGAAAUGCUUAGAUAUCGCGAAGAACCCCGAUUGCGAAGGCAGCGUACCGGCUCCACACUGACGCUGAGGCACGAAAGCGUGGGUAUCGAACAGGAUUAGAUACCCGUGUAGUC